rnacentral:lncRNA from 1 species
UCGUUAUCCUAUCAAAGAAAGCAAUUAGAUUGGUUUGACAUGAUUUGUUUAUUACAAAUCCAUGCUGGCUAUUCCCUGUCACCUGACCACCUUCCAAGUGUUUGCAGAUGAUUUCCUUAAUUACUUGCUCCAUUAUCUUCCCUGGCACAGACGUUAAACUAACUGGUCUGUAGUUUCCUGGCUUGUUUUUAUUUCCCUUUUUAUAGAUGGGCACUAUAUUUGCCCUUUUCCAGUCUUCUGGAAUCUCUCCCGUCUCCCAUGAUUUUCCAAAGAUAAUAGCUAGAAGCUCAGAUACCUCUUCUAUUAGCUCCUUGAGUAUUCUAGGAUGCAUUUCAUCAGGCCCUGCUGACUUGUAGGCAUCUAACCUUUCUAAGUGAUUUUUAACUUGGUCUUUUUUUAUUUUAUCUGCUAAACCUACCCCCUUCCCAUUAGCAUUCACUAUGUUAGGCAUUCCUUCAGACUUCUCCAUGAAGACUGAAACAAAGAAGUCAUUAAACAUCUCUGCCAUUUCCAAGUUUCCUGUUACUGUUUCUCCCUCCUCACUGAGCAGUGGGCCUACCCUGUCCUUGGUCUUCCUCUUGCUUCUAAUGUAUUGAUAAAAAGUCUUCUUGUUUUCCUUUAUUCCUGUAGCUAGUUUGAGCUCAUUUUGUGCCUUUGCCUUUCUAAUCUUGCCCCUGCAUUCCUGUGUUGUUUGUCUAUAUUAAUCCUUUGUAAUCUGUCCUAGUUUCCAUUUUUUAUAUGACUCCUUUUUAUUUUUUAGAUCAUGCAAAAUCUCGUGGUUAAGCCAAGCUGGUCUUUUGCCACAUUUUCUAUCUUUCCUACCCAGCGGAAUAGCUUGCUUUUGGGCCCUUAAUACUGUCCCUUUGAAAAACUGCCAACUCUCCUCAGUUGGCACCCCAUUGUGCUGGGUGCGGCGAGGACACAGUGACCAAGACCAGGCCGGCAUAGCAGGGGGCUGCAGGUCGGGAUUGAGGGGCACCGGUGGAGAAGGGGGUCAGGCAGCCCCUGCUCUCACUCUGCCCCUGGCCCUGGUGCAUUCUGGGUGCAUUUGUAUUUCCCCGGAGGCCCCUCGACCUCUGCCCAGAGCAAAAUCCCAAUCAACUGUGCCAAGUGGGUGCAGGGAUGUCACCGCCUCUGGGCUCCAGGACUGGCAGACUCUGUUAAUGGUUCAUUCACUGGGGGAUAAGAGGCUGGAGCAGCCCCUGAGGGAGAGACAGACAGGGACCUCGCAGCUCCACAGACACCCAGGAACCGCUCCUUCCCCUGGCACGGAGUCACCCCAGGUGUCCCUCGCAGUGUCCCGCUGAAAGCUGUGAAGGCCCAUCUCGGCCAGCGAUGCUGAUCCUGAGCUGUUCCUCCAAGCUGCGGCUGCUGGAGGGGAUGCUACGGAGGGGCCUGCCUGACACGCUGCCGGUGACCAGGACUCGCCCGACCCCACAGAGCCGAACCCUCCCACCCUCGGGCUGGGCAGAAAGCAGGGCAAAGUCCCUCAUAGACACCUGGGUGAUGGGGCACAUAUUGGACUGGGGUGCAAUCCCCUGGGUCGGGGGUACCUGGAGGGCUGGCCCCUCUACCUGGUCAGGGGGUAGCAGUUUGGGGGCAGACCCUAUCUCCAGGUGAGGGGGCAGCAGUUCAGGGGCCACGCAGGCUCUCCUAGAUCCACAGGGGAUGUGCCGUACCCCAGCUUGUCACCAGGCCCCUGGGGGCAACCCCUGUAUUGGGCCAGGGCCCAAGGCUCCACACGGCUCCACAGGGGCAGGCCUGUGACCUCCACCACUGGGCCUUUGACACCAGCCCUCCCAUCUCUCUCCGUGGCUCCCUGCAGCGAAUGCAGCCGAGCCAGACGCCUGCAGGAGGCUUGGACCGGGCCCUGCGGUGUGUGUUGGCAGAGACCCCGGCAGCCUUUGCAAAACACGGGAGCGUUUUAGCACAGGUUAGCACAGCGAAUCAAAGGUUAAGUCACAGCCC